AUCGGAGAAGGAAAUGGCAGCCCACUCCAGUGUUCUUGCCUGGAGAAUCCCAGGGACCCGGGAGCCUGAUGGGCUGUCAUCUAUGGGUUUGCACAGAGUCGGACACGACUGAAGCGACUUAGCAGCAGCAGCAGCAGCAGUUAUAAAUUGGGCCUUAACUUCUGUCAAGUUUAUUGUGAUUUUAUGUAAUAUAUUAAUCUUAAUUUAAAAAUUAAAUGCUUCUCUGAUUAAUAUGAGUAAUGUAAAAUUUUAUUUAGAAAAGAGUUCUGAUGGAAAAGUAAUUAGUUAGAAGUAUUUAUGAGAUUAAAGGAGAAAAAUUUAAAAAUUUAUGUGUUAGCCGAGUCAAAUGAAUAUAAACUAUAAAUUAAAAAUUAAGAAUAAACUGUGGUAUUUGUGAAUAUUCAGCUGUUUGGAACAUUAUUAGAACUCCUCUGUUUAUAAUAUGCCGAUACAUUAUACUAGAAUUUUGGUCUGCAGAGUAAAUUUGUUUAUAGUAUACUUAAAUUCAUUGGAAAAUUAACUUGAGAAAUAAAAAUUCUAGUGUAAUUAUUAAAAUAUACAAAAUGCUGAUAAACUGCAAGUAAAUACUUUCCCUAAUAAUUUAAUAAAUAAAAAUAUAAAAUAAUAAAUACAAACCAAAUAAUCAUUUGUUUCAAACAUUGAUUUAUUGAUUAAGCACCACAAGUUGGAUAUGGCUGACAUUGUACCUGUCUGUAGGUUUGUGUGUAUAUAUGAAAAAUGCAUAUAAUAUAUGCUAACAUACAUGUUUUAUAUGUGUACAUAUAAAUAUAUAAAUUUAUACAAAAUGUGAAAUAACUGUCCUUUUUUAAUUAGAUGUGUUUUGUGUGUAUGUGCAUGCUUGUUCGCACAUGUGUAUAUUUUACUAUGUAGAGAGACCUUCAAGUUUCUCUUCUAUUGAUAAAGUCAAGUAAACAAUUUUACCUUGUUUAAUUAAAGUUUAUAAAAACAUUUUUAUUUUUUUAUAAGUUGAAAUUGUUGUUCAGUCUCUAAGUUGUGUCUGACUCUUUGUGGCCUGAUGGACUGCAGUACGCCCGGCUUCCCUGUCCUUUAAUGUCUUCCAGAGUUUGCUCAAACUCAUGUCCAUCAAGUUGAUGAUGCCAUCCAACCAUCUCAUCCUCUGUCACCCUCUUCUCCUCCUACCUUCAAUCUUUCCCAGCAUCAGGAUCUUUUCUAGUGUGUUAGCUCUUCACAUCAGGUGGCCAGAGUAUUGGUGCUUCAGCAUCAGUCCUUCCAGUGAAUAUUCAGUGUUGAUUUCCUCUAUGAUUGACUGGUUUGAUUUCCCUGCUGCCCAAGGGACUCUCAUGGGUCUUCUCCAGCAGCACAAUUUGAAAGCAUCAAUUCUAUCGAAGUCAGCCUUCUUUCUAGUUAGUCCAACUCUCUCAUCAUACACAACUACUGGAAAAACCACAGCAUUGACUAUAUGGACCUUUGUCAGCAAAGUGAUAUCUCUGCUUUUUAAUAUGCUGUCUAGGUUUGUCAUGGGAGAAGGCAAUGGCACCCCACUACAGUACUGUUGCCCGGAAAAUCCCAUGGAUGGAGGAGCCUGGUAGGCUGUAGUCCAUGGGGUCGCUAAGAGUCGGACACGACUGAGCGACUUCACUUUGACUUUCACUAGGUUUGUCAUACCUUCCUUUCUAAGGAACAAGCAUCUUUUAAUUUCAUGGUUGUAGUCACAGUCUGCAGUGAUUUUGAAGCCCAAGAAAAUAGUAUCCAUCACUUUCUACUUUUUCUCCUCCUAUUUGCUAUGGAGUAAUGGGACUGGAUGCCAUGACCAUAGUUUUCUGAAAGCUGAGUUUUAAGCCAGCUUUUUCACUCUUGUCUUUCACCCUCACCAAGAGGCUGUUUAUUUCCUCUUUGCUUUCUGCCACUAGAGUGGUAUUAUCUGCAUAUCUGAGAUUGUUGAUAUUUCUCCCUGCAAUCUUGAUUCUAGCCUGUGUUUCAUCCUGCCCAGCAUUUCGCAUGAUGUACUCUGGAUAUAAGUUAAAUAAACAGAGUGACAAUUUGCAGCCUUGUUGUACUCCUUUCCCAAUUUUGAACCAGUCUGUUAUUACAUGUCCGGUUCCAAUGGUUGCUUCUUCAUUUGCAUACAGGCUUCUUAGGAGACAGUGGUCAUGUAUGGAUGUGAGUUGGACUGUGAAGAAAGCUGAGCACCGAAGAAAUGAUGCUUUUGCACUGUGGUGUUGGAGAAGACUCUUGAGAGUCCCUUGGACUGAAAGGAGAUCCAACCAGUCCAUUCUAAAGGAGAUCAGUCCUGGGUGUUCAUUGGAAGGACUGAUGCUGAAACUCCAGUACUUUGGCCACCUCAUGUGAAGAGUUGACUCAUUGGAAAAGACUCUGAUGCUGGGAUGGAUUGAGAGAAGAAGGAGAAGGGGACGACAGAGGAUGAGAUGGCUGGAUUGCAUCACCGACUCAAUGCACAUGGGUUUGGGUGAACUCUGGGAGUUGGUGAUGGACAGGGAGGCCUGGCGUGCUGUGAUUUAUGGGGUCACAAAGAGUCGGAGACCACUGAAUGACUGAUAUGAACUGAACAUGUAUGUUUCAAUUCUACUACAUCAGUUUGUCCCACCCUCUCCUUUCCACACUGUGUCAGUAAGUCAUCGUAUGCUAGAAACCAAGACAACAUUGUAAAGCAGUUAUCCUCCAAUUAAAAAUAAAUUUUAUUUUUUUAAAAUUUUCUUUGCUUUAUUGAUUAACAAGUAAAUUUGCUAUUAUUUUGAUUUAUCUAUAAUUCUUUAUAAACUUAAAUUUGACAUUUAUUCUCUAAUAAGGAACACUGUUUUAAAAAGACAUCAAUAAUUAUAUAUCCUAAAAAAUGUAUAUUACCAUUAGAUAAGAGCAUAAAGGGGUUUCCCUUGUGGCUCAGCUGGUAAAGAAUCCACCUGCUAUGUGGGAAACAUGGGUUUGAUCUCUGGAUUGAGAAGAUCUGCUGGAGAAGGGAACAGCUACCCACUACAGUAUUCUGGCCUGGAGAAUUCCAUGGACUAUAUAGUCCAUGGGUUUGCAAAGAGUCAGACAGGACUGAGCAACUUUAACUUCACAAGAGCAUAAAGCUCUUGAAAGGAAAAAAAAAAAAAAUAGAUGCAGAGAUGCAGAAACAGGUGGCUAAGCUUAGAGUCAGAUACAUGUAGAGAAAGGAACAAGAUGGCAACCUAUAGUGCAUGAAGUCCAGGGAAGAAGAAAACUCUGAAAAAAGGACAACUUUUUUAAAAAAGCCAAUAUGGAAAGGGAUGGAAUUUGGUUACUAGAUGUCCUGGAUAGCCUGGCUGUUGCGGUAAAGCUUUCCAUAUAGCACAGCAUGGCACAAUGACUCUAAAAAUGCUAAACAUUGAAAAAUUAUUUUACAAGAUAUGGCUCUGGGCAGACAGGGUAUACUUGCAACCUAUUAAGUAGCUAAAAUUCCUUAAAUAAAAAGUAGAAAUGAACCUUCUGCCCCCCCCCCCAUGCUAAAAAACAAAAACUGAAAAAAAGAAAAAAACAAACCCAAAGACUCCAAAUAAGCCAGUAUAUUGAUUAAAGAGGUUCCUCUUUUAGUAAUUGUUAAGGAUCUAGUUUUGGAAAAUUGGGAACAAAAGAUAGAUUACAGGUACAAUAUUUGGAUAUUUAUGGAAGAAGUAGAUAGAAAUUAUCUUUAAUAAUAAAUUGGAGAGGUGCUAUUUCUUUUGCUGCUAAUAGUGCUAAUUUAUACAAAGAAGUGCUUGUAUGCUAUACCUCCAGAGUAAAAAUCCUGUCCCCAAAAUCCCAGUUGCUUAACCCAACAAAGAUUUAUUUCUUGGUCUCAUAACAUGUAUAUCUUGGGUCAGUGGGGCCUUUGCUAUAUUUAGUGACUCAGAUAUACAGGAUGGGAAGGCUUCAUAUAUUGAACCUGUUCCAUCUGAGAUAUGAGGCCCCUGUGGCUUCCGGGGAUUCGUGUUUUACCAGUAAGACAUUUUGACCAAAGGACACACUAUUUUUACACACACUUUAUUGGCCAGAGCUAGAUAUUUGAUCCUGUAGGUA
ensembl:lncRNA